rnacentral:rRNA from 1 species
CAGCCGCCACGGGAAUACGUAGGGUGCGAGCGUCAAUCGGAAUUACUGGGCGUAAAGCGUGCGCAGGCGGUUGUGUAAGACAGGUGUGAAAUCCCCGGGCUUAACCUGGGAACUGCGCUUGUGACUGCACAGCUAGAGUAUGGCAGAGGGGGGUGGAAUUCCACGUGUAGCAGUGAAAUGCGUAGAGAUGUGGAGGAACACCGAUGGCGAAGGCAGCCCCCUGGGCCAAUACUGACGCUCAUGCACGAAAGCGUGGGGAGCAAACAGGAUUAGAUACCCGUGUAGUCCCUGUCUCUUAUAC